UGAGUUGUGGGUCUUAAGUUUAACUUCCCUUCAUUGUCUUAAGCUGCAGCAGGUGACAGUAAGACCACAGAUCUGGAAAGGAUGUAGAGCCCAGCCUGAGCUUCCAGCUUCUGGCAUAUUAACUCCUGCCUCCUGGACCUAGGAUGGAGCUUUGCCCAUAGGAGGAAUAUUCACAGCUUCCAGAACUAAGCUGAAGUUAGGGAGCACAGAAGCACGGAAAACUGAAGUAAACUGCCAGGAUGUUAACAUUAGUAAUUCUAACACUUAACUGUGGCCCACAUCAGCUCAUUUAAUCCUGACAGUUCUUUGAGGUUUCGGUACUCUUCCCUUUAGAGAUUAGUAUGGUCAAGCAGUUGCUUGUGUCACACAGCCUGGAGAGAUGAGCAGCGUCUCAAGGCUUGCUGAUUCCCAAGUCCAACCACCUUACCGUUCUUCAGUGUACCCCUACCCUGCCCAAGCGCAUGUGUGUUGAUUCAAUCAGAAGUCCUCUACCCUGCUGCAGGCACAGCUGUUCAGGUCCCCAGGUUUAGAAAGGCUUUGUUUGUUACUCAUCUUCCC
rnacentral:lncRNA from 1 species